AAGUCGUAACAAGGUUUCCGUAGGUGAACCUGCGGAAGGAUCAUUAACACGUAUCCAAACGUUAAAACCCCCCGUGAACCUUUAUUGUACUUACACGCUUCGUUGGAAAGUAGCAGGCACAGCGGGUAAAUCAUCGCCGAACAGUUUUGAUUCCGUCUACCUGGUGCGUGAAGUGUGAGACGAGGCGAAGUAGUGGCCUUGCAUCCCUCUGCUUGUUAAUGUCUGGAAGUGUCAUUAGCUCUGUAAGGAUGGCGCAGUAACGAUCGCUAGAGGCCAUCACGGCCGGCGACCUGGCCGCAGGGCGCGAGCCCCCCUGAUCACCCCUUUGCAUGAAAACGGGCCUGCGCUUAAUUGUGCGGCCACCAAACUCGAACAACUGUUAACAAUGGAUAUCUUGGUUCUC
rnacentral:misc_RNA from 1 species